CGGCACUCUUUGUGCCACUGUUCCCUCACCAUGUCCCUCACCAUGUCUCUCACCAUGUCUGCAGGAGAAAAGUGCAGCACGUUGACGACAUCGCCUCCUACUGUAACCACACCCCAGAACACCCCUCUGCUUCUUUCAUCCAUCCAGCAUGAUAUGUUGACAUAAAGAAGAGGUGACAGAUGUUGCACCGAGAGGACAGCCAAAACUAAGAGCAGUGACACCCUGAUGUUGAUGGAUUGUGUCUAUCCAGUCUCAGACAGGAGGGUGGUGUCAGGGACAGAGUAAAUGUUCUGCUUUGCCACCUUCAAACCCAACCCCCCCCCCCCCCCCCCCCUUCCCUAGUAAUGAGCCCCCAUCCCACCAGCAGACUCUCAGAAAGGAGACUUUAUUAUAUUACUGCUCCCCCUCCACUCCUUGCUCCCUGACUGGGGAACAGUGAAUGUGCAGGACAGAAGGACAAGGUCAUUGCCACACAUCUGACAGGCUGAAUAGAUUAGAGAGACAUUAAGGGAGGGCUCGGGUGUUUGUUGGAGUGAAAUUAUCAUGCAAUCUUUUCUGUUUUUAAUGUGUUAACAGGUUUAGUGAGGGAGGAAGAUGUGAUCUUUUUGUAUUUGUCAAGUUGGAUCACAUCAUCAGUGCUUUUAUCAGAGAACGUGGGAAGACAACUUCUAUCAAAGGAAAGUAGUUGACAGAGUUCUGCCUAGGCCAUGAGGCUAGCUGAGGCUACACUUAGCCUAUUGUAGAAAGCAACGUUGUACUGUUGCUAUCUCGUUGUUACCUCAUCUUUAAGGAUAGGGGAGAGUGGGGUAAGUUGAGCCCUUUUUUACAUUCAGCAUCUCUCCGUCAAGGGAAAUAUAGUGUUAUUUCUAACAAAGAUAUCUACAUAUAUUUCAGGAUGUUGUGUAUCGCUGGAAAUAAUCAGAAUUCAUGUAAACAUUACAGUUGAAAACCUAGCUUGUCCAAAAAAAAGUGAUCUCUUACCACAAUUUACAACAUGAAUGGGGUAAGUUGAGCCACCUACAAAUUUCUGCACUGAAUGAAAUAUUAGCACCAUAUUUUUAAAACCAUGUCUAUCUUUAUUUCCCAAACACAGUUCCACACAAUCACAAUCGCUUUUUUUGUAUUUUAAUCACUUUAAGAAUAUUUUAACACAGGCUGAAUACCUAAUAAACACUUCAUACUUUUUUUAAACACUUUUAACAUUGGCCAGGUCCUUUUGUUACCUCACAACCCAGUGAUAAUGCCUUGCCUUACGCCUGGGAAGAAAACACUUUCAUUUGUUCAACUUAGCCCAUUGCCAAGUCAAACAUUUUGACUAUAUUAGCCCACACAGCUACAAGGAUGCACUUUCAUGCUAGUUUUAGGACUAAUCUUAAAAUGAUCUACUUUGGUUCAUGAAACCUUUAACACAAUAUAUUCAUUUGACUUGGCCUAACUUGCUUAACACUUUUCCCAUGUGGUUUCUUCCUCCCCAGACUCAAUGAAAGGAUGACCUCUUCCUAAAGAUUUGGUUGAAUUAUUAAUUUUGUGUACGGUUUCCUAGAAACAAAGAUGACUCAACUUACCCCACUCCCUCACUGUCACGUCCUGGCCAGUAUAAGGGGUUAUUUGUUAUUGUAGGUUGGUCAGGACAUGGCAGGGGUGUGUUUGUUUUGUGUUGUUGGCGUUUUUUGGGUAGUGUUCUAUGUUUUGUAUUUCUAUGUUCUAUUUUCUAGUUAUUCUAUUUCUAUGUUUAGUUUAUUGUUUUGACCUUCAAUUGGAGGCAGCUGUUCCUCGUUGCCUCUAAUUGAAGGUCCUAUUUAGUAGGGGUGUUUUUCUAUGGGUUUUGUGGGUAGUUGUUUCUUGUUUAGCUGUGUGCCUGACAGGACUGUUUUCGUCGGUCUUUUUGUUCAGUUUUCAUUUAUUUAAUAAAGAAGAAAAUGAGCAUUCACAUCCCAGCUGCAUUUUGGUCCAAUCACUACGACGCCCGUGACACUCACAGCUUAUUGAGCUGUAACUUAUGUAAGGACUUUGGUGACGUGUCAGGGUGUAUUGGCCAAACGUGUCCAUAGUUUAUUCUGCUUUGUCCUACUUUACUCACCACUACACCAGGUUAAGGUGGACCUACAGAGAGACCAUGGAAACCUUGCCACUGCUCUGUGCCUUAAAAUCCAGAACACUCCUUCCUUUGUGAGAUUUCCAUACAUUCUGCAGAGGUACUGAGGGAGAAAAGACACAGAACACAAUACCCCCAUACGGCAUUCAGAACAAUUACACCACUGAAAAUAAUAUCAGAAUGUCCUUCAGCAGUCUCUGUCCGAAAAGGGAAUGCUACAAAUCCUUUUAAAAACAUAUUUCUCCCUCAGGGUACAAAUAAAAUGACAACAUUUAAAAGCUAAAAUCAUGCUCUGCUCCAACUAUGGAAAAUCACUCUCCUGAACUGAGGUCCAGGGACAUAAUCUGACCAGUGUCAGGUAACACACACACACACACACACACACACACACACACACACACACACAGAG
rnacentral:lncRNA from 8 species